UACGUAGGGUGCGAGCGUAAUCGGAAUUACUGGGCGUAAAGCGUGCGCAGGCGGUUCGUUGUGUCGGCGGUGAAAGCCCCGGGCUCAACCUGGGAAUGGCCGUUGAAACUGGCGAACUGGAGUGUGGCAGAGGGGGGUGGAAUUCCGCGUGUAGCAGUGAAAUGCGUAGAGAUGCGGAGGAACACCGAUGGCGAAGGCAGCCCCCUGGGCUGACACUGACGCUCAGGCACGAAAGCGUGGGGAGCAAACAGG
rnacentral:rRNA from 1 species